CACAGCGAGAAGACGGUCGUUUAUACACCAGACAGCAGACUCUCACCAGACACCAAAUCUCUGGGCACCUUGACCUUGGACUUCCCAGGCUUCAGAACCAUGAGAGAUAAAUAAAUACAUUUUUAUUUACAAGUCACUUAGUUUUUGGUAGUGUGUUAGAGCAGCUCAAACGGGCUAAGACAUGAGGCAACCCAGGGCUGGUGUGGUGAUGGCACAAAGUCAUCGAGCUCCUUCCGUCUUCUGUUUUGCUGCGCAUCACCUCUAAUCGCAAGGCAGCCUCACGGUCUCAACUGGCUGCUGGAGCUCCAGCCAUUGUGUCCGCCGUCAAAGCAGCAGAAAAGGAGACAGAGAGGAAGAAGGGCUGAAGCGCCCCGGCUUUUUGUGUCCCCAUAUAGACUUGCCUGCCCCGUUCCGUUCCUCUGGAGUCUCUCCCUGGCCGCCUCGGAUGCCAUCUGUCACUGACCCUCGGGUCCCCUCCGCUUCCGGCUGGGCCACCCCGUCCCGCCCACCCGGGCCCGUCGAGAAGGGAGACGGGGCCCAGCAGGACAUCAUCACCCUCGAAGCCACCCUGCCAGGCGCUCAGGGUUGCUGUCUGUAGAUGUUGGGGAGACACCAUCAGAGAGAGAGGGAUGCUGGGACCAUACCCUCGUAGAGACAGGGGUACUGUGGACACACUCUCAGAGAGAAGGAUGCUGAGAACACCCUCAGAGAGAAGGAUGCUGGGAACAUCUUCAGAGAGAGGGAUGCUGGGGACACACCCUCAGAGAGAGCUGCUUGCCCUCGGAGAACCAGGACCUGUGACUACCUGUCCACAGAAGCCUGAUUCAGAAGUUUAAGUGCAGAAAGGGACCAUCCUGAGGCGUUGUAGCAUUAGACGGCACUGACAGCAAAUGUUGUUAAUUAUCUGAUCAACAUAGGUAUGAUGGAUUUUCAAUCUUAUUUAAAGUUUAUACUGUCUCCAGGAAGCUGGGUAACAUGCUUUCUUAUUCCAUGUAAAUCUCUAACGUGUCUACACAGCUCUCCGCGUGUCUGCUCAUUAUGUGGGGGGAGAAACUUUUUGGCACUUUUCAUGCUUUUCCCCAAAGAACACCUCUAACCAAGCAAAAGCAAUCUGAUUCCCCAGCUGGAAUGAUGUAAGUGGAAUUAAAUAUUUUUAAAUGA